GUCGCACACGCACAGCCGGCUGCCCAGCCCACUGUCCCGCACAGGCCCGGCCGCAGCAGUUCCCUUAAGCCCGCUUCCGGAGCGCCGCCCGCGCAGCGACCGGGAGGAGAGCAGCCACUCCCUAGACUCACCCCUGCAAUCUAGCUGCCCCUGUCACGGAACACCGCCCAAACUAAAGACACCUGCGGUCACAGUGGAGCCUGUCUGAUGGAUGUUGAGCCAGGCAGAGCCAGACAGAGCAGGACAACGUACUGCACGUCAGAGAUUCUACAGGCACCAGGUACAGAGUGGAAGAGGACGGAAAUGGAAACACUUGCAAGAAGAUGUCUGUAUAAUGGGAAUCCUGGGUGGAAAAGCAGAACAAACCAAGAUGAGUAUAUAAAGAUGUGAAUGAGCUCAGGACAGUCUUUUCAGUAGCUGGAGCAUGUGUUACUGUGGCUCUCAAAAGUUCUGAUCCUUUCAAUGACCUAGGAGACCAGAAGUAGUGUAAUGCUGGCUAUGACCACAAGCAGACCAAUCCAAGUUUCUAGAAAGGGGGCAAGGACAGGGUACAUCAAAGGGACACAUUUCAGCUGUGCUCUUUUUUACCCUUGACUAACCAAAUUUUUUAAAUUGUCAAAAAUCUGUAAGUCACAUCAUGCCUGAGUUAAAUUUUUUGAAGGAGCAGAGAUGGAGUAGAAAGGUGUAACAGUAUUACAUGGGAGAAGUGAAUGAGCAAAAUACAGAUACAAGAGCAAGCAAAGAAUCUCAGGACAAAUCCCUAGAGGCUGAGCAGAAAGGUGUACAGCAGAGCCCCAUGAUGGUGGCAGCCUCCCAUAAACUGGACCUAAAGUCCCCCAUGAAGUAAAACCACCAGUUACCACCCUUCACCCUCUAUGACAAAAUCUUACGCUUCACAGACCUUUGUCAGAUCAGGUCAAUGAAUUCAUGCUUUAAUCAUCACUGUACUCCAAACAUGUAGCAAUGAAAGUGCUUCAUGCAAGAAGGGGCAACCUGAAGCCAGGGGCUGUGUUAGCGUGGGCUGAGCUGGGUUAGAAGACUCGCUGUAAGACAGGAGGAAUGAGCAGAGAAGUGGAGAGCAAAGAGGAGGAAAAGGGAAUGAUACACAGACAAAAACUACUUCCCAUUCAAAAGGGUUUACAAACAAAUUCCAAAAUAUAUGAGGAAAAUGGGUUAGAAGAACUGCCAACAAAAUAAUUAGUACAUGAAUUCACUUCAGGUAAUAUUUUAAAGAACAAAGACUUUCAAGAGAAAAAAAAAAUAACAUCUACUAAAAAGGACAAAAGGAUGAUAAAAUAAGCACGUCUUAUGAAAUGAAAUGAAAUGAAAUCAGGUAAAUAUGAAAUAAAAAUAAUUAGAAAUCCUGAAAACAAAAAUAAUAAUUGAAACAAAUUAUAGGUGGGAUAAACUUUAGAUUGGAUAUUAUCAAAAAGAGAAUUAGUGAACAGAAGUAAGUCUCUAGAACUCCCCCGAAAUGAAGGCCAGACCUAAAGAGACAAAUAAAUGAGAGGAAUGGCCUAGAAGCUAUGGAAGAAAUAAUGGCCGAGAGUUUUCUAGAAUAAAAAUGCUUUUGUCCUCAAAUUGAAAGUCUAGUCUGAGUAUCUUUAAAAAUAUAUGUAUACUUAGAUACACCAUAGAUCGCCAAUAAUAAAGAUGCAUCCUUUACUGGAGAAAAGACAGAUCAUAAGAAUGAAAAUAAAGAAACUUUCAGAUAAACAAAAGAAAAAUUUGCCACCUAUGGAAACUCACUAAAUAAACGGUAAAGGAUGUAUUUCAACAAGUAAACCCAGAGAGAAGGUACUGAGUACAGAAAUUAAUCGAGUAUUUGACUGUGACAAUAGCUGACUAGUGAGAAGUUAAGGUUUUACGGAUGAUUGUUUUUUAAAAAUAUAAAAAUAGUGUCACUAUAUAGAAACUCCAAAAAGACACAGACACUUUUAUAAUAAGAGUUCAGCAAUGUUGCCAGAUAGAAGAUCAAUAUUAAAAAAAUCAACAGCAUUACCACUCCAGUAAUAACAAACAAAAAUGUAAAAACGAAAAAUACUCAAUUGCACAAAAAACUAUAAGGUCUCUAAGAAAAGUUUAAAAAAAUGUGUAAUACCUCUAUGGAGAAAAUUACGAAACAAUAUUGAAGGAUAUAUUCAAAGACAUGAAUUAAUGGAGAGGUAUAACAUGUUUAUGGAUUGGAAGAUUCAACAAAAUAAUCUCAAUAUUUUCUCCCUAUUAAUCUAUAAUUUCAAUGCAAUCUUAUAAAAAAAGUCUCAAUAGUCUUCAUUAGAACUUGACAAAUUUAUCUCAGAAUUAAUGUGGAAGAGCACAGAGCCAAGACAAUUUUGAAGAAUGAGACGAAGGAAACUUGUCCAACUCAAUAGUAAGACUUUAUACAGCUACAGUAGUUCAGACAGUAUGCUACUGAUGAAGAAACAGACAAAUGAAACAGGACAGAGAGCCCAGAAACAAUAUGACAUGGGUGUAGAAAUGUGAUAUAUGACAGAGGGGUAACACAACUAAAUUGUUCUGGGACAACUGGUUAUGCAUUUGGGAAAAAUACAUUAGAUCUCAACCUCACACCAUACACAAAAAUACAUUCUAGUGGAUCAAAGAUCCAAAUAUAAAAAGCAAAAUCUUAGAAACAUAUGGAAAAAAGAGGAACUUGUGCUCAAUGUUGGGAGGAUGGUGGUGAUGUAAACUGGUUCAAGUACUUUAGAGAACAAUUUGGAAAUAUCUAAUAAAGAAUUUUUAAGGGACAUUUUCGUCUGUAUACACAAGGAAAAUGUGUUUAUGCCAGCACUAUUAUAUUAGCUAAUGACUGUAAACCCGAAGUCUCUCUUGACAAGAGAACAGAUAAUUUUUUAUAUAAUAGAAUACCGUGUAGCAAAUAAAAUGGAUAAAUUAGAAAUGUAUAUCAGGAUAAUAAAAUCUCAACACCAAAGCUGGGUGAAAUAAGUUGCAGAACAAUCUCAAUAACAUAUCUCAUUUAAAAUCAAACCUUGUAAAACAAUACUACAUAUUGCUCAUGCACACAUAAUAUACUGUAAAAAUACAAAAAUACACACAAGAAUGAAAACAUUAAAUUCAAUGUAGUAUUCUCUAGGGAAAGAGAUGAAUGGCACCUAGUGGGCUUCAGCUAUGGUUAUCAGAAUACUUUUUAUGAAAUGAAGCAAUUGAAGAAACAGGGCAUGGUGUUAAGGUUUGACACAGCCAGAUGGUAGGUAUAUAAGUGUUCAUUAUAUCUAUUCUUGUAUAUUUGAAAUAUUUCAUUGAAAAUAAAAUCCCUGUUAC